GGCUCUGUGGCGCAAUGGAUAGCGCAUUGGACUUCUAGUGACGAGAGAGCGAUUCAAAGGUUGUGGGUUCGAAUCCCACCAGAGUCG
rfam:Pteropus alecto contig99801, whole genome shotgun sequence.